rnacentral:rRNA from 1 species
AGUGAAUCUCCUUCGGGAGUGAAGCUAGCGGCGGACGGGCGAGUAACACGUGGGCAACCUGCCUCAUAGAGGGGAAUAGCCUUUCGAAAGGAAGAUUAAUACCGCAUAAGAUUGUAGCUUCGCAUGAAGUAGCAAUUAAAGGAGCAAUCCGCUAUGAGAUGGGCCCGCGGCGCAUUAGCUAGUUGGUGAGGUAACGGCUCACCAAGGCGACGAUGCGUAGCUGACCUGAGAGGGUGAUCGGCCACAUUGGGACUGAGACACGGCCCAGACUCCUACGGGAGGCAGCAGUGGGGAAUAUUGCACAAUGGGGGAAACCCUGAUGCAGCAACGCCGCGUGAGUGAUGACGGCCUUCGGGUUGUAAAGCUCUGUCUUCAGGGACGAUAAUGACGGUACCUGAGGAGGAAGCCACGGCUAACUACGUGCCAGCAGCCGCGGUAAUACGUAGGUGGCGAGCGUUGUCCGGAUUUACUGGGCGUAAAGGGAGCGUAGGCGGACUUUUAAGUGAGAUGUGAAAUACCCGGGCUCAACUUGGGUGCUGCAUUUCAAACUGGAAGUCUAGAGUGCAGGAGAGGAGAAUGGAAUUCCUAGUGUAGCGGUGAAAUGCGUAGAGAUUAGGAAGAACACCAGUGGCGAAGGCGAUUCUCUGGACUGUAACUGACGCUGAGGCUCGAAAGCGUGGGGAGCAAACAGGA